rnacentral:lncRNA from 1 species
AAAAGCUGUAUCGAUUGUUGAGAUCUGGCGACUUGUUUAAAUUUCAUCAGCCUCACUUCUAUGAACUCUCAGAGCUGAUUACCAACUCCUACCACUGUUAACCCUCAUCCAGGAAAAAGCUUAUGUCUUUAACAUUCUGAGUGGGCUUCAGCAUCCUUGCAUAUGUUCAAUUCUUAAAAACCUGUUGAAAUAAAAGAUCAGGAGACAUAGGAAGGAUGCCAGAAGAGAGCGUGGCCUCAUGUGUACCAGCUCUCUGCUCUCCUUUGCCUUGGGACGUUCCAUCCCUGGAAGUUUCCCUGCCCACAUCUUUGUAGAGAGUCCAUUCUCCAAGCUUCAGUGUGUCAUCUGUGAGGACUGUGACCAACCUGGUACAUCGCCUCAGGGCAUUCAUUUCAGGCUCCUUCUAAAUGGUCAAGUUUUCAAGAUUGUUUUGGCUCUAGCAAAACAAGUUGGAACAUUCACAUCAUCCAACAAAACACCAACAUUUUUGUAAUGGCCUGCAAGGCCUUCCGAGAUCUGCCUCCUGCAACUCAGCUUCUCCUGUGCUCUCCUUCUGGACUCACUCUGCCUCAGCAACACUGGUCCCUGUUGCCCCACCAAUAUACCAGUCAUCUAUGAACUGACUCUGUCUCAAAAAAAAAAAAGAAAAAAAAGAAAAGAAAGAACGAAAAAAAAAAACUAGGACAUGGCUAACAGGAAUGGGGACAAAGAAUCUGCACUGAUGAGGAAACUGAAACAGAAAAUCCAGAGUAAAUUCCACCAGGCCACACAGCAAGGUCUGAUAGAGCCAGGAGAGACUUUAUGAAAUCCAGACUCUCACACUAAUGCUCUAUCAGCUAGACCUCCAUGUGAGUCUCCCCAAUGUAGGUAGGAAGUGCUUUCCC